GUGAAUCAUCAAAUUUUUGAACGCAAAUUGCACUUUCUGGUAUUCCGGAAAGUAUGCCUGUUUGAGGGUAAGUUAAAUAAAAAUCGGAGUUGUUGCUGCUAUUCGAGGUGAUGCAUCGGAAUUGAGUUGUCUUUGUACUUUGGUAUAAGUGACUUAAAAUCUGUAUGAUUUUUAAACGUAUUUAUAUUAUUUACGUACGUUUUUAAUAUCAUAUUAUAGGUGCGGUCAUCCUACUGA
rnacentral:misc_RNA from 1 species